GAGAACAAGACCAUUUCGGGUUUGAGAGGAGAAAAAGAAAGAAAAGAAAGAAAAAUUUUGGAGCCUAAUCCUUGAGUUUAAAAUUCAAUUCUUGUGGGAAUACUACUAAGUGCAAAGUCCUCUACAACUUGGUACAAUUAGUUUGGCAAGAGGACAAGUUUAGUGCCAAGUGAAGAACUUGAAGAAAGAUUUUGGACGAAAUUGAAGUCGACGCCAAGCGAGCGUAAGGCGCUAUCGAGGUACAGACGCACCAGGUGAUACGCCGCCAGCGUAGGGUUCUAAUUCUGCUGUUUGAAGAGCUCCUUUGAUCCGGAGCGUAUACUUUUGGUAUAUAUCUUCUGUCUUCUGUAUACUCUGUAUGUAUGGAUAUUCUGG